CUCAUUUUUACAUCAGGGGGUCUCUCUGAUUUGUAUGUAAUGAGAUAUAUUUUUUAUAGCAAAUCACCUUUCCUAUUGUCAUGCAUAGGAAUAUGCUCCUAGAAGGAAAGAAAAUAGGACAAUGCCACCCCUACCACACAAUAUAUAAUCUACUAGUAAUCAUUCCAUUUUACUUGCUUUUAAAAUAGACAAUUUAAAUAUUUUACAUUUUUUCCAUGUACCAAAGUGUACAUGUAAUUCUUCUAUAAUGCCUUUUCACUAAGUUAGUCAAAUGGCUAAACUAUUGAAACUUACAGAUUCAAUUUAGUAUGGGGCAUAUGUUUAAGUGGAGCACACAAUUCCUCCAUCCUCAGGGGUCCUCCCUAACUCUGACUUUGAAUAUUUAAACAGUCAGACUGGUUAUGUCAUUGCUUCAGUUGUUUGCCAGGCCCUGCUAAUUACAUUAAAACCACUGGAGAUGUGAUUUAAUCAGCUCACCCAUGGCAAAUGUUCUAUAAAGAAUGUGCACUCUCUUUAAAAAAGACUAGGAUUCUAGAAUUUGGAUUAUCCAGCCCAGCAUUCUACAAGCAUCCUUUUAAAAGGUAACUUUGGGAGAUGGUAUCCAGCUAUAACUUGAAUUUGUCAAGGGUAUCUUUGAAGAUUUUACCAGAAUACAUGUCUCAAACAAGUGAAGAAAUACCAUCUCAAUUUGGUGGCUUUCCUAUAUCACACUGAAGGAUGGGCAGAUAUGCUGUUGCCAUGGAAACAAGUGUUAAUUGGAUGGCUACUUUGUCGCUUGCUUUUGAAAACCACAGGAUGGAGCCAAAUCAUGAUCCCUCUAUUUCCUCCUGAGGAGUUACAGAAUUGAAUUUCAGUUUCAU
rnacentral:lncRNA from 1 species